rnacentral:tRNA from 1 species
GCGUAAUUGGUUUAGUGGUAAAAUUCUCCGUUGCCAUCGGGGAGCCCUGGGUUCGAUUCCUAGAUUACGCA